AUAUUAUAUCGCCCAUCUCUAGUGUCGAGUGUUUCCGAACUGGUAAUGGUGUUAGGGUUUUUAUAUUUAAUCCCUGGAACCAAUAUUGAGCACUGAGCACUGUUUUCGAACGCUUUCAAGUGUGUCUUUUAAUAUAAACUAGGGGUCUGUUUUCUGUUUUUGUACUGUGAAGUGAUGCGAUAACGAAAAGGUUAUUGGUUUGUUCUUUUCUAAUGAACGUAGUAAAGGUGCACUUUAUUAGAUGGCGUCUCGCUCUGGCCAUUGAAAUCAGGCCGCUCUUAUGCUUAUCUCUGUUUCUACACGUUUUUCACAUGUGUGAAAUAUUUGAUUGACUUGAUAUCAGUUUACAUUAUGUUAAUAUGAAUGCAUUUUUAUUACUGGCUUAUGAUUAUUUUAAUUAAUAAUAUAAAUAAGCAUAGUUGUUGAUGCGUUAUUAAGUAACGAAACAUUAUGAGUAACAGUGUGAGAACUUCAAUUUUGAGAAAGAUAACAGAAUCUUUACAAAAUGCUAAUAAUAUAAAUGUAUAUAAUAUUGCAUCUUAUGUACGUCUAGCAGCAUAUAAAGGAAAUGGAAUGUAUUCAUUUCUUCUUCCUCUGAGAACUAAACAGUAUGAUAUUCAGAAUGAAGCACAGAAUAUUAUAAAUAAUCAAGAUGAUAUUUUUGGCAAUAUCAAUAUAACAGAUAAUAUAAUCUCUUUCAAUAUCUCCAGAGAAAAGUGCAUUAAAAAAGUUUUGGAACAUAAUCGUUUUGUGGUAUCAGCCCCAAUUUUCACAAAUAAUAAGAAAAAUAUAAUAGUAGAAUUUAGUUCACCUAAUAUUGCAAAACCCUUUCAUGUAGGACACUUAAGAUCCACAAUUAUAGGAAAUUAUGUCGCUAAUAUCAGUAGUUUUGUAGACAAUAACAAUGUUAAGAGAUUAAAUUAUUUGGGUGAUUGGGGCACACAAUUUGGUUUGCUUCAAUUGGGAGUUAAUAUGACAGAUAUUGGUGAAAAUGAAAUGAAAAAAAAUCCUAUAAGAGCCUUAUACACAGCAUAUGUUACUGCCAAUAAAUUGGCUGAAACAGAUCCUUCUAUAUUGGAACAUGCAAGAGAUAUAUUUAAUGACUUAGAAACUGGAGCAGGAGUUACAGGUGAACAAUGGAAAGCAUUUAAACAGUACACUGUCGAAGAAUUAAAGCGGAUUUAUAGUAGAAUUGGUAUCAUAUUUGAUGAAUAUCAUUGGGAAUCAAUGUACAAUGCUAAGAAUAUAGAGAAGAUAAUUACAUUAAUGGAAAAAAUGCAAUUAUUAACAACAGAUGAAGAAAACAGAAAAAUUGUGAAUCUUAACAAUGGAAAAUGUGUCCCUAUCAUUAAAAGCGAUGGUUCUACUUUGUACAUAGCCAGAGAUAUCGGAGCAGCUAUAGAUAGAUUUGAGAAGAAUAACUUUGACUGUAUGUAUUACGUGGUGGAUAAUACACAAAUUUUUCAUUUCUCAAAUUUGUUGGAGAUAUUGAAACAAAUGCAAAUACCAUGGGUGGAUAAAUUAAAGCACAUAAGAUUUGGUCGAAUACAUGGUAUGUGUACGAGAAAGGGAAAUGUAACGUUCUUGGAGGAUAUUUUGGAUACUGCUAGAGAUAUCAUGAAGCAGAGACAAUUACACUCACCUACCACUAAGAUUUCUAUGAAUUUGAUGGAUGAUAGCUCGGACGUAUUGGGCAUUUCAGCGAUGAUAAUCAAUGAUUUGAAGCGAAGUCGGCAAGGAGAUUAUACAUUCGAUUGGGACGCAGCACUUGACUUGAAAGGAGAUACCGGUGUGAAAUUGCAAUAUACACACUGUCGUCUGGUUAAUUUGGAGCUUAAUUGUGGCGCAACUUUAACUUCGGAGUGUGAGCCAAAUUUUUUACGAGAAGAUGUCGUCGAUGAUUUAAUCAUGUUAAUUGCCAGGUUCGAAGAAGUAGUAUUGAAAUCAUACAAAGAAAUGGAACCGCGCGUGUUAACGAUAUAUCUUUUCAAGCUGUGUAACGCUAUUAAUAGGGCCUUCAAAACGUUAAAAGUAAAAGGCGAAUCGCCAGAUGUUGCUAGCCAAAGACUCCUGAUGUUUCGUGUUGCUAAAAAUGUUCUCGCACAAGGCAUGAAAUUACUUGGCUUAACACCUUUGGAAAAGAUGUAACAGAAUAAAGAGACAAUAAGUUAAAACCGUGUAUCGUUUAUGAUCGAUGGUACUUGUAUAAAAUGCUAUCAUGUACAAAGAAAGCGAGCUACUAUUAUAAAAAGAAGAAAGAAAAAAAAGACAAUUUCUUUUAAAUUGAGAACUUCCUUCUGGCGCCUUCUUGACCCCACUUCUUCCUCUCGCGUCUUCUCGGGUCCCUCGUCAGAAGUCCAGCUGUUUCGAGAUGAUAGUUCAAUUUUCUAUUAUCUAAAUAUAUGCGUGCAUCUAUUCGGAACACAUGUCGAUAGAUACACUUGCAAGUUUCUCUAUCGGAUCAAUUAUUCCUUACCUACUCGCAUUUUUUCGAUCAU